GACGCUGGCGGCGUGCUUAACACAUGCAAGUCGAACGGUGAACCAGAGCUUGCUCUGGGGAUCAGUGGCGAACGGGUGAGUAACACGUGGGCAACCUGCCCCAGACUCUGGGAUAACCUCGGGAAACCGAUGCUAAUACCGGAUACGACCACUUCGGACAUCCGACGGUGGUGGAAAGUUUUUCGGUCUGGGGAUGGGGCCCGCGGCCUAUCAGCUAGUUGGUGGGGUAAUGGCCUACCAAGGCGACGACGGGUAGCCGGCCUGAGAGGGCGACCGGCCACACUGGAACUGAGACACGGUCCAGACUCCUACGGGAGGCAGCAGUGGGGAAUAUUGCACAAUGGGCGAAAGCCUGAUGCAGCGACGCCGCGUGAGGGACGACGGCCUUCGGGUUGUAAACCUCUUUCAGCAGGGACGAAGCGAAAGUGACUGUACCUGCAGAAGAAGCACCGGCUAACUACGUGCCAGCAGCCGCGGUAAUACGUAGGGUGC
rnacentral:rRNA from 1 species